rnacentral:lncRNA from 1 species
AAGAAAUAUACAGAGUUCAGAAAGAGCCUUACAUUGGAUCCUGACUGCUAGAGAAAACAGAAUUUACAUGUAGCAAUCCGGAAAGUUUCCAAGGCAACACCAGCUUCUUAUGACAUCCCAAAGAGAGGUCACAAUUGUGGCAGGCAUGUCAAUAUUGCUGGUUAAGCCUUGAGAGGUCCUUUUUGGUUAGGAUGAGAACAUCAUGGCCUCACCUUUGGAUUCCAAAGCAGAUUCAACACAAGAGUUCUUAAAAACACAAUACUUUUAUUGGCUUCUCAUCCUUUGGCAACAGCACACUCAUAUGCAGCUUGUUGAUUUGGCUGAAUCCUUCAUUCAGGAGCUUGGUGUAGCGUUCAGUGUGGCUCCUCCUGCAGUUCUUCUUGGCUCCCAGAGGUCAGCACCAGGCAGUGCUCUCAGCAGGUCUAGCCUGGAGUUUCAGAAGAGUGCUUGGAAGUGGUGGCUGGAUCAGAGCUGUGCAACAAGGACCAUGGGGAGCCAAACAGUCUACCUUUUAGCUAUGAUUUUUAUUUCUGUUCUCAUGUCUCCCUCCUCAUCUCUACUCCCCAUACUUGCCCUUCUGCUUGUCCCUUUAUGCUCCUUUCUUAGCCUUCUCUUCCUUGAAACUAACUUUCAUUUUUCAUAAUUACUUACUCUGUUUCUGUAAAUGUGAAAAGAAAACACAUCUUCCCUUCCCUCCCCAAACACCCCACACAAUAAAAAGACUUUGUAGGUCUUAUGAUUUAUAACU